GGCCGCAGUAUUCUAACUGUGCAAAGGUAGCAUAAUCAUUAGUCUUUUAAUUGAAGGCUGGUAUGAACGGUUGGACGAAGUAUAAGCUGUUUCAUAUAAAUUUAUAUUAGAAUUUUAUAUUUUAGUUAAAAAGCUAAAAUUUUAUUAAAAGACGAGAAGACCCUAUAAAUCUUUAUAUUUACUUUUAAAUAAAUUUUAUAGAUUAAUUUUGUUUUGUUAAAAAUAAAUAUUUUGUUGGGGUGAUAUUAAAAUUUAAUAAACUUUUAAUGAAUAAUGACAUUAAUUUAUGAUUUAUUGAUCCAUUAAUAAUGAUUAUAAGAUUAAGUUACUUUAGGGAUAACAGCG
rnacentral:rRNA from 1 species